AACUGAGCCAGCUGCUGUGGCGAAACCCGCUGCUCUUACCCUCCUUUCCCGGAAACGAUUCCAGUGCUCACCGCAGCAGGUCGCCCUACUCCGCGGAAGCGUCAACGAGCUUUUUUCACUUUACGCAAGCUUACCUCACGCUGUGCGUUCUCAGCCCAGAGCAGAGCACUGCCGGACGCGAAUGUCGUACGGAAGUCACUGAAAAUCCUAUCUUGAGCUUCUUGAGCUCCCAUCAUGGCGAGUGCGAAGACGGUUGCGGCUCAAGCUCUCAGACAUUGGAGGCAAAUCUUGAUGGUGCUGAUUCCGCUCGUUCUGCUACCUUUACUGUUUCUCGAAGACGCUCAGAAAUCUCGUUGUGCUUACAUCGUAGCUGUCGUGGGACUCUACUGGAUCAUAGAGCCCAUCCCACUCGGAGCAACGUCUCUGAUCCCUAUCGUACUGCUUCCGAUGCUCGGAGUUCUUACGACGGAGCAGACGUGUGCACUCUACAUGAAUGAAACGAACAUCAUGUUUGUUGGGGCUCUGAUAAUGGCUAUUGCUAUUGAACAUUCUCACUUGCAUCAAAGAAUAGCCCUGAAGACUCUCUGCAUGCUGGGCACAGGCAUAAAAAUGCUUGUGUUCGGCAUUAUGUUCAUCUCCAUGUUCCUGUCCAUCUGGAUCAACAACGUUGCCAUCACCGCUAUGAUGAUGCCGGUGAUUAACUCGCUCUCGCACGAGCUGCUUCAGGAGAGGCGCAGGAGCCUUUCGCGGGGUAACAUCGAUGUCGAGGGGAUAGCAGCACUCAGAGAGCGCGUCGAUAAAGCUGCUGCUGCCAAUGGCAACACCAAGCUGAUCCCGCAUCAGGAUGGUGACGAAGGGGAGUCCGAUGUGGUGAUUCCGAUAAAGCCGAAGAACCAGUAUUCGCACAUCGACAAGGCAACCGAACAUCGCGUUCGUGUGCUUCUAUACCUAAGCGUCCUGUACGGCGCCAACAUUGGGACCAUCACGACGAUCACCAGUGGCGCUUCCAACGUAGUCUUCAAGUUCGUCAUCGAAGACCUAUACGAAGAACGAGCCCCUGUGGAAUAUGCGCUGUGGAUGUUCUUCGCAUUGCCGAUUGCCCUAAUUGGAACGGCCCUCGUAUUCCUCAUCGUCGUUCCGUUCUUCUUCUCUUGAAAAACUCCAAACCUCGGGAAAGAAAGCAGCAACUACGCCAUAGCUGCAAUUCGUCGCAACUACAUGGCACUCGGACCCAUCAAGUUUCACGAAGUUGCAGUCCUGCUCCUGUUCAUAUUGCUGGUGUUUCUCUGGCUUUUCCGGGACCCCAUGUUCGCCAAAGGGUGGGCGACAUACUUCGGAGUCAUAAAGCCUAAGGACGCCACAGCAGUGAUGAUACCAGUGAUUCUGCUGUUCAUGAUUCCUUCGAAGCCUCAGAAGGGCUUCAGAGGCCCCGUCCUGUUGACAUGGAAAAUGGUGCAAGCUAAGCU
rnacentral:misc_RNA from 1 species